CAGACCAGGAUGUGAGCUCCAGAGACUUGAAGGAGACUGAGGUGAGGUACAGUAAUAAGGAGUAGCCCUCCCUCCCUCCCUCUGAUUAGAGACCCCAGACCAGGAUGUGAGCUCCAGAGACUUGAAGGAGACUGAGGUGAGGUACAGUAAUAAGGAGAAGCCCUCCCUCCCUCUGAUUAGAGACCCCAGACCAGGAUGUGAGCUCCAGAGACUUGAAGGAGACUGAGGUGAGGUACAGUAAUAAGGAGAUGCCCUCCCUCCCUCUGAUUAGAGACCCCAGACCAGGAUGUGAGCUCCAGAGACUUGAAGGAGACUGAGGUGAGGUACAGUAAUAAGGAGAUGCCCUCCCUCCCUCCCUCUGAUUAGAGACCCCAGACCAGGAUGUGAGCUCCAGAGACUUGAAGGAGACUGAGGUGAGGUACAGUAAUAAGGAGUAGCCCUCCCUCCCUCUGAUUAGAGACCCCAGACCAGGAUGUGAGCUCCAGAGACUUGAAGGAGACUGAGGUGAGGUACAGUAAUAAGGAGAUGCCCUCCCUCCCUCUGAUUAGAGACCCCAGACCAGGAUGUGAGCUCCAGAGACUUGAAGGAGACUGAGGUGAGGUACAGUAAUAAGGAGAUGCCCUCCCUCCCUCUGAUUAGAGACCCCAGACCAGGAUGUGAGCUCCAGAGACUUGAAGGAGACUGAGGUGAGGUACAGUAAUAAGGAGAUGCCCUCCCUCCCUCUGAUUAGAGACCCCAGACCAGGAUGUGAGCUCCAGAGACUUGAAGGAGACUGAGGUGAGGUACAGUAAUAAGGAGAAGCCCUCCCUCCCUCCCUCUGAUUAGAGACCCCAGACCAGGAUGUGAGCUCCAGAGACUUGAAGGAGACUGAGGUGAGGUACAGUAAUAAGGAGUAGCCCUCCCUCCCUCCCUCUGAUUAGAGACCCCAGACCAGGAUGUGAGCUCCAGAGACUUGAAGGAGACUGAGGUGAGGUACAGUAAUAAGGAGUAGCCCUCCCUCCCUCCCUCUGAUUAGAGACCCCAGACCAGGAUGUGAGCUCCAGAGACUUGAAGGAGACUGAGGUGAGGUACAGUAAUAAGGAGAAGCCCUCCCUCCCUCCCUCUGAUUAGAGACCCCAGACCAGGAUGUGAGCUCCAGAGACUUGAAGGAGACUGAGGUGAGGUACAGUAAUAAGGAGAUGCCCUCCCUCCCUCCCUCUGAUUAGAGACCCCAGACCAGGAUGUGAGCUCCAGAGACUUGAAGGAGACUGAGGUGAGGUACAGUAAUAAGGAGUAGCCCUCCCUCCCUCCCUCUGAUUAGAGACCCCAGACCAGGAUGUGAGCUCCAGAGACUUGAAGGAGACUGAGGUGAGGUACAGUAAUAAGGAGUAGCCCUCCCUCCCUC
rnacentral:lncRNA from 1 species